rnacentral:rRNA from 1 species
CGGGGUGCAGCAGGCGCGAAAACUUUACACUGCUGGCAACAGCGAUAAGGGGACCUCGAGUGCCAGGAUACAAUCUUGGCUGUCGCGAUGCCUAAAAAGCAUUGCAUAGCAAGGGCCGGGCAAGACCGGUGCCAGCCGCCGCGGUAACACCGGCGGCUCGAGUGGUAACCGCUAUUAUUGGGUCUAAAGGGUCUGUAGCCGGCCGGAUAAGUCUUUUGGGAAAUCCAGCUGCUCAACAGUUGGGCUUUCAGAAGAUACUGUUCGGCUCGAGACCGGGAGAGGUGAGAGGUACUUCAGGGGUAGGGGUGAAAUCUUGUAAUCCUUGAAGGACCACCAGUGGCGAAGGCGUCUCACCAGAACGGAUCUGACGGCAAGGGACGAAAGCUAGGGGCACGAACCGGAUUAGAUACCCGGGUAGUCCUAGCCGUAAACGAUACUCGCUAGGUGUCAGCCACGGUGCGACCGUGGUUGGUGCCGUAGGGAAGCCGUGAAGCGAGCCACCUGGGAAGUACGGCCGCAAGGCUGAAACUUAAAGGAAUUGGCGGGGGAGCAC